rnacentral:rRNA from 1 species
UCCACGCUGUAAACGAUGAUCACUCGUUGUUGGCGACACAUUGUCAGCGACUAAGCGAAAGCAUUAAGUGAUCCACCUGGGGAGUACGGCCGCAAGGUUGAAACUCAAAGGAAUUGACGGGGGCCCGCACAAGCGGAGGAACAUGUGGUUUAAUUCGAUGAUACGCGAGGAACCUUACCUGGGCUUAAAUGCACGACGAUUGAUCGGGAAACCGGUUUUUCCUUCGGGACGGA